rnacentral:rRNA from 1 species
UACGAAGGAUCCAAGCGUUAUCCGGAUUUAUUGGGUUUAAAGGGCGCGUAGGCGGUUCAUCAAGUCUGGGGUGAAAUCUUUCGGCUUAACCGGAAAAGUGCCUGGGAUACUGAUGAACUGGAGGGAGAUAGGGGCAGCUGGAACUUCCGGUGGAGCGGUGAAAUGCGUAGAUAUCGAGAGGAACACCUGCGGCGAAGGCGGGUUGCUGGGCUGACACUGACGCUGAUGCGCGAAAGCCAGGGGAGCGAACGGG